GGUUUUGCUCUGUUCUGAACACUCACACCUUAGCGACCUUAGGUGGCUUUUUUGUGACUUCUUGAUGAGCCAAAGUCAUCUGCGUUUUUUGGCUUCAAACAUAUUUAUUCUUCCCUGUAUUGCUUGUCCACAGAAAACAAUGAAAUGCUUUGUCUUAAAUCUGCUAUUCUUCUCAGAAGCCCCUGGUGUCUACAGUGAAAAGGACAUGAUUGAACUUUUUUCCCCUACCAGCCAGAACCUGACUCGGGAACAAGCCGGCUACUGCGUCUCCCAUGUGAAGCCCCAUGUGGACAGCAAGGGCCGUGAACUCCGCACCACUUUCGACUGUGUCGAGUUUACUCGCUUAUCCCCUUCUCCCCCAAGCCUUGUGGUUAACAAUUUUUAUUAAUUUCUAGUUUGUACUUAUGGUGUUUUAUUAUGCAUAUGGAAGAAAAUGUGAAUAUAUGUUCUCAUUUUCCUGCUUUCUUUACUCAAAACAUUGCAUUCCAUACUCAUUGCUUUACACCAUAGGAGAUCUGUCCAUAUCAGUACAAAAACAUCUCGUUCUUUUUUUUUUUUUAACAAUUUUAUGUUUUUUGGAGUUACAUAAUAUUUCACUCAGCACAUAUUAAUACAUGGGACUUUAGUUAUUUACUUUUACAGUUAUAUAGUAUUCCACUGCAUAUAUGUAAGAUAAUUUUUUCAACCAGUCCCCUAUUGCUGGGGUCAUUUGAAAAUUUCUCCUAUUUCAAACAAUGUUAUGAAGAUUAGUCUUGUACAAAUGUCACUUCGUAGGUGUGCAGAUAUGUCUGUGCAAUUCCAGAAGUGAGACUGUCAAAGGGUAAAUGCAGUGAUUCAUAUGGGUUGCAACAUUUUGCACUCCCAACAACAAUGUUAGUUUGUACUUCCCCACAGGUUUGCCAAGAAAGCAUAUUAAAUAACUUUUGGAUUUUUUUUCCCCAGUCUAAUAGUUGAGAAAUGGUAUCUCGAGGUAGUUUUAAUUGACAUUUAUCUUAGGUGAUAUUGAGCAUCCUUAGAAUUUUUUGAAGUAAAAUAUACAUACAGUAAACUACACAAUGUCUGCAUCUUGAUAAAUCUUUGAAUAUAUAGACACCCAAAUAACCAUCACCCAGAUAAGAUAUGAAAUAUUUCCAGCACCCUGGAAAAUUGCCUUGUGUCCUUCCUACUCAACACUGACCAUCACGCUGAAGUCUGUCACAUAGAUCAGUACUUGAACUUCGUAUAACUGGAGUCGUAUAGUAUGUGCUCUUUUGUGUCUGGCUUCUUCACUAAACAUCAUGUCUGUGAGAUUUGUCCAUGUUCUUCCAUGUAAACAUUAUUCACUCAUUAGGUCACUCAUUUUGUUGUUAUAUAUUUCUUUGUAUUAAUAUACAAGAAUUUACUUAUACCAAUUUUCUAGACAGUGGACAUUUUCGUUGUUUCUAGAUUUUGACUACUAUGAAUAAAGCUACUCUCAACAUUUUUGACGUGUACUUU
rnacentral:lncRNA from 1 species